UAGACAAUUUUGGACAAAAAUAAGACGAAAGUUUUGAAAUAGUUAGGGAACGGGAGGGUAUACCGAACCAAAACCACUCAUCCCUAAUCAAAGAUUAUGUGCCAUAACAAAAUUAUGUCAGUGAUAAUGGUGUAGAAAGUUUAAUAAGACAAGUAACAUCAAAAUGGUGCAACGCAACUGAGGCAUGGAAGUGCAACUGAUGGCUGAUGCUGGUAUUUUGAGUGUCAAUCAGGCACAAAAAUUCAGCAUUUUCAAAUAGAGGGUUUGCUGCAUCAAUCUCCACUCUCAUCAUUCAUGCCUUACAAGACAUGUCCUCCAGCACCAAGGAAGAAGAUCGGAUAAGUCCACUGUCAGAUGAAAUCAUCCUUCGCAUCCUCUCCUUCACGCCCACAAAAUUUGCGGUUCGAACAGGCAUUUUGUCGAACAGGUGGAGGCACCUCUGGAAGUUCAGUCCCGUCAUCGAUUUCUAUUCAUUGCCUUAUAAUUGGAGAGAACCUGUUGAUAAUUCGUUUGUCAAUUGAUGCCUGGAGCUUCAUAGAACUCCAGAACUGCUGAAGUUUCGCGUGGUGUCGAACUGGUGUCCUGAAUUUAAAAGCCGGGUCGAUUUUGCCAUAGCAAGGAAUGUUCAUGAUCUCGUAAUGGGUUUUACUUUAGAAUCAUUAGGCACAAAUCGUUUAAAGUAGCCACGUUCCUUUUAUGCUAAUACCCAGUCCAUCAAGUGUUUGUGGUUAAGCUGCUUUUUCUUUAGGCCUCCUACAUAUUUCACGGGCUUUGCUAAUCUUAAGACACUCUCUCUUUGCUACAUUGUACUAAGUGAUAAAGUUUUUAAGUUGUUUUAUUCAGAUGUCCCCUUCUUGAAAGCUUAACUUUGUAUGAAUGUUUUGGGUUAAUUAAUGUUAAAAUUGCUGCCCCAAACCUGCGACUCAAGCACUUUGUCUUCCAUUCGAAUAUGCAAGACAACGGAGUUUUACUUGAAAUUGAUGUAUCUGGUAUCCCUCAAAUACGUCGGAAGUUGGAUGGAAAUUCAGUUAAAAAAAACUCAGCUUCUCUAACUGAAGCCGCGUUUUACUUUUGGGAUAUGAAACCAUUGAGGACUAUUGCUGUGGAAAGUUUGGUGAGGAAAGUUCACCGCGGAGUGGCAUUUCUGAGUGUAGAUUCUUGGUUUGUGCAGGCACAGUUUUGAGAUGCCUAUUUCGAUGGGUUUCACGAAUGGAGAAGUUAUAAGGAUGUCACAGCGUGUCAUUAUGCCGAGCUGGAGGAUGGACAAGUUCUGUUACAUGGUGGGUGUCUAUAAGCUCAAGAUAAUUAAUGUCUGUGGCUUUUCAGAUUAUAAGAGAGAGACGGAGCUGGUGAAACAUCUAUUACAAAGAGCAUCCUCUUGUAAUAGAUAAACAGUUGCUUCAAGAAGAGGUAUCUCUUUUACCAAGAGCAUCCUCUUGUGCCCAAGUCGAAUUAUUUUAAGGAUUUCCAGCAUUAUAGGAGGUGAGAUUUAGGAUUAGGAGGCUUAACAACUUUGGAGUAAAAGAAAAAAAAACUCUCAUUUUUUUUGCCCAUGUUUUGCUUAGAUUUCAUGUAUUCAGUUCUCUUUAGAAAAUAGUUUCCUUGUCUUUUAAAGCCUAGUACGAUCUUUGAAAGCAAAAUUGACACUUUUCCGUUGGAGUCCAGAUUAGGGUUCAUGGGUAAGUUGUAUUCCGUUGCUUAAAUUAUUAUUGUACUUAUUGAAGCUAAAAGUCACUGCCUAGACUCUUUUAUGAAGAUGCCAUAUACGCAUCGAACACAUGUCGGACACUGACAUUUCAGAGAUACUCGUAGUUGUGUGUUUGACACCUUGUAAACUUGCGAAAGUAAAAAUUUCGUAAUAUUUUCAUUGUUUUGUACACGUUGAUGACACAUUAUAAAUACCAUCCAACAUUUGGCAUAUGUAAUACACAUUUUAAUAGGAGCCAUGUCCA